GACCAUACACCAAACAGAAACAGAAAAACAAGUGGUGCACGGAGGGGCUGAGCGUUGACCUUUGCGCUGGGGGCCCAGAGGCCACGGGAAAUGGCCAGGGCUCAACAAAGGCUUCAGAGGCGGGAAUGUGAACUAGGUCGUUCUGGGAGAUUGGAAAAGGAAACAGAAGAGCUGAAGUGGGAAGAGUUCCAGUUAUUUAUUGAAACUCAUCUGAUUUCUCCUUUGUGGAGAAGUUUAUGACAUGAUGACCCAGACUGUACUCAGGACUUGAGCUGCCACAGUUCAGAGAAUUGACAGCAAAGAAAUGGGAACAAGUGCACCCUGGAACUGAAGAUUAACUACUGUACCUAAAACGACCAACGACCAAGAUGAUGCUAGUCAGACUACUGAUGAUAAUUGGAAGAUGAGUGUACUGUUUCUGCAUGUAACGCCCCCUACACACACACUUUGUCUAUAAAAACUUUCACCCCCUGCUUUUCAGGAGUGGAGGGAAGUCGGCCU